CCUACGGGUGGCAGCAGUGGGGAAUAUUGGACAAUGGGCGAAAGCCUGAUCCAGCCAUGCUGCGUGUGUGAAGAAGGCCUUCGGGUUGUAAAGCACUUUCAGUGGGGAAGAAAGCCUUGGGGCUAAUACCCUCGAGGAAGGACAUCACCCACAGAAGAAGCACCGGCUAACUCCGUGCCAGCAGCCGCGGUAAUACGGAGGGUGCGAGCGUUAAUCGGAAUUACUGGGCGUAAAGCGCGCGUAGGCGGUCUGAUAAGCCGGUUGUGAAAGCCCCGGGCUCAACCUGGGAACGGCAUCCGGAACUGUCAGGCUAGAGUGCAGGAGAGGAAGGUAGAAUUCCCGGUGUAGCGGUGAAAUGCGUAGAGAUCGGGAGGAAUACCAGUGGCGAAGGCGGCCUUCUGGACUGACACUGACGCUGAGGUGCGAAAGCGUGGGUAGCAAACAGGACUAGAUACCCCAGUAGUC
rnacentral:rRNA from 1 species